rnacentral:snRNA from 1 species
GUCGUGGGUUCGAACCACGGUAACUAACUAUCUCACAGUAGCAUGGCCCCUGCACUAAGGAUGACACGCUCAAUCAAAGAGAAGCUACCAAUUUUU